UACGUAGGGUCCGAGCGUUGUCCGGAAUUAUUGGGCGUAAAGGGCUCGUAGGCGGUUCGUCGCGUCGGGAGUGAAAACUCGGAGCUCAACUCCGAGCCUGCUUCCGAUACGGGCAGACUAGAGGUAGGCAGGGGAGAGCGGAACUCCUGGUGUAGCGGUGGAAUGCGCAGAUAUCAGGAAGAACACCGGUGGCGAAGGCGGAUCUCUGGGCCAUUACUGACGCUGAGGAGCGAAAGCGUGGGGAGCGAACAGG
rnacentral:rRNA from 1 species